rnacentral:miRNA from 1 species
GUGAGCCCGUUGGAGUCGGGCU